GAUGAACGCUGGCGGCGUGCCUAAUACAUGCAAGUCGAGCGAACGGACGAGAAGCUUGCUUCUCUGAUGUUAGCGGCGGACGGGUGAGUAACACGUGGAUAACCUACCUAUAAGACUGGGAUAACUUCGGGAAACCGGAGCUAAUACCGGAUAAUAUUUUGAACCGCAUGGUUCAAAAGUGAAAGACGGUCUUGCUGCCACUUAUAGAUGGAUCCGCGCUGCAUUAGCUAGUUGGUAAGGUAACGGCUUACCAAGGCAACGAUGCAUAGCCGACCUGAGAGGGUGAUCGGCCACACUGGAACUGAGACACGGUCCAGACUCCUACGGGAGGCAGCAGUAGGGAAUCUUCCGCAAUGGGCGAAAGCCUGACGGAGCAACGCCGCGUGAGUGAUGAAGGUCUUCCGAUCGUAAAACUCUGUUAUUAGGGAAGAACAUAUGUGUAAGUAACUGUGCACAUCUUGACGGUACCUAAUCAGAAAGCCACGGCUAACUACGUG
rnacentral:rRNA from 1 species